AGUAACGGAGGACUGGACCCGUGGUCAAGUGGUGGGGUGACCCGAAACAUCUCGGACUCGGUGGUCGCCAUAGUGAUACCUGACGGGGCUCACCACCUGGAUCUACGCUACAACAACGAGUAUGACCCUCACACCGUCCUCUCAGCCCGCGCCCUGGAGGUGGAAUACUUCAAACUGUGGAUCAAACAGGCCAGGAAACUACAAAUACCAGGUUAAAUCACUCUGAACUACAACUGCCAGGCUAAAUCACUCUGAACUACAACUACCAGGUUAAAUCACUCUGAACUACAACUACCAGGCUAAAUCACUCUGAACUACAACUACCAGGUUAAAUCACUCUGAACUACAACUACCAAGCUAAAUCACUCUGAACUACAACUACCAAGCUAAAUCACUCUGGAUUACAACUCCCAUGCUAAGUCACUCUGAACUACAACUCCCAGGUAAAAGCACUCUGAACUACAAUUACUAAAUCAAACAGAACUAAAACUGCCAGACUAAAUCACUCUGAACUUAAACACCCAGGGUCGGCCUAAAAUGUCACCCUAUUCCCUAUAUAGUGCACUACUUUUAUCCAGGACCCCUAGGACUCUGGUCAGAAGUAAGGCACUAGAUGCAACCCCAGCCUCUCAAACUACCUGAAGCUAAAAGACCAUAGCAUAUAACAUGUGGCUUUGUUGCAAUGCCCUCUCUAGCAUACUACUAAGAAGGGAGCAAUGUAAUUGGACGUGUAUUCUAAGUGAUAUGCUAGUGUGGAUAUUGAAACUAAGCCAAUGUUUGCAUCCCAAAAGUUACCCUAUUCCCUAUUAUAGUGCACUACUUUUGACCACAGCCCAUAUGGACCCUGUUUAAAAAGGAGUUCACUAUGUAGGGAAUAGGGUGCCAUAUAAUACAAAACAUUCUCUACCACCAGAAUGUACUGAUGGAUUUUCAGUUGAAUAUUGUUUUCAGAUGUGAUGAGUUUAAGGAAGAACUACUUACACUAAUAAAUCAGGUUUAGUUAAGUAGCUAUUUCAAUGUUGAUUUAUUGAUUUCAAUGAUUGGUUAUAGUGUUUUCUGUUUCGUGCCAAAGUCUUUUAUUUUUUAUUUUUUACGAGUGUCAGAAAGGGCUAGAAUAUCAAAUUUUAAAAAACGAAAGAAAUAUUUUCUUAAUUUGAAAAUUAAAGACAUUUUCACAUUAACACCAGAUUUAAAUAAUUAAGUUACGGUGUUUAUGUUUUGUGUUUAAUUGAAGUUUGAUAGCUUACACAUACUGUAUAUCAGAACAACAAUUGUGUUUAAUUGUAUAAUUAGUACAGAAAAUAUUUAUUUAACAGCUCUCAGGAAAAAAAGUAUGCUUUUUUUGUAAGUGUUUACAAUUCUUUGUAAUUAACCAUUUCUGUUAAACUAGAAUUAGCAUUAGUCAGUGAUUCUAAAGGUUUUUCCAAACAAUUGAUAACAUUCACUUGUAGUUGACAGUUUUUAUACUACGGCCUGAGUUGUAUUUGGUCCAGAAAUGGACCCAUAUUUAACAACGGCAGCAGAAGGGCUGGACCCAGUCUCUCAAUGUCGUGUUACCAUGUUUCAUUGACUUUAUUAAUGGCUGUGGCUGUUAAGCAAUAUCCCUUUAAUGUCUUACUGCUAUUGCCAUUGUGUUGUGCCCAGAUUAAAAGCAAUUUUAAUUUGAUA